rnacentral:lncRNA from 1 species
AUUGACACAUGGAAGACAUUAUGAACUCUGAAUAGUUCUAGUGGUUAUGCUAACUUGUAGGUAGACAUUCUAAUUAUAUCUAAAAUCUCAAAUGGUUCAAUAAAUUAGGGGUUCAAUUUUUCGCUCUUUCCAAACCUAGUGAUGCCCUUAAGGGAAGUGACUUUAAGAAAAAUCCUAUCGCCUGCCUCGAAUUUUAAAUCC